CGGCGCCCUCCGGCCAGAUGCCCAGCGUGUUGAAGCUGAGAGUGCAGGAGCUGGUGGCCCACUCCACGUCGCGCAUCUGGGACGUCUGCACUAUUUGGCGGCACAGACCAGCGUUCCCUGGGGUAGUAUGCAUCUGAAGAGCACCCAGCAAGCCUCACCUUCCUCCUAACACCCACCUUGCCAACCAACCAACCAAGACCACAGUACAGGCAGCUCAGUACUCACAAUACAGCAGCUCAUAAUCCCCAGAGUUGGACUGCAGGAACUGGUUAUCUGCUGACCAGUCCAGGUGGGUCACAAAGCUGGAGUGACCCUGAAGAGAGACAAAGGGAAACGAGAGCCUCGAACACACUCACCUGGCAGCGUCCCAUCCUGGUGUACUUGCGGCCUCCCUCCGUCACCUGGUACAUGUAGAUAUAGUUGUCCCGCGACCCCACAGCCAGGUACUCACCAUUCGGGGAGAACUUGAG